rnacentral:rRNA from 1 species
GAUGUCAACUAGUUGUUCGUGUCUUUAAGACGUGAGUAACGCAGCUAACGCACUAAGUUGACCGCCUGGGGAGUACGGCCGCAAGGUUAAAACUCAAAUGAAUUGACGGGGGCCCGCACAAGCGGUGGAGCAUGUGGUUUAAUUCGAUGCAACGCGAAGAACCUUACCAUCCCUUGACAUCCAGAGAAUUUUCUAGAGAUAGAUUAGUGCCUUCGGGAACUCUGAGACAGGUGCUGCAUGGCUGUCGUCAGCUCGUGUUGUGAGAUGUUGGGUUAAGUCCCGCAACGAGCGCAACCCUUAUCCUUAGUUGCCAGCACUAAGGUGGGAACUCUAGGGAGACUGCCGGUGAUAAACCGGAGGAAGGUGGGGACGACGUCAAGUCAUCAUGGCCCUUACGGGAUGGGCUACACACGUGCUACAAUGGCGCACACAAAGGGCAGCAAGCGCGCGAGUGCAAGCGAAUCUCAAAAAGUGCGUCGUAGUCCGGAUUGGAGUCUGCAACUCGACUCCAUGAAGUCGGAAUCGCUAGUAAUCGUGGAUCAGAAUGCCACGGUGAAUACGUUCCCGGGCCUUGUACACACCGCCCGUCACACCAUGGGAGUGGGCUGCACCAGAAGUAGAUAGCUUAACCUUCGGGAGGGCGUUUACCACGGUGUGGUUCAUGACUGGGGUG